UGUUUAUGGAGCACAUGCUGGCUGCACAGGUGGUCACCUCUUAUGACCCCGAGUCCUAGAUGGGCCUCCCACUGUGAGCCCAUCACCCUUGGUCCACAUCCAUCCAUGGCGCCUGGAGAUCUUCCUGACCCAGGGAUCAAACCUGCAUCUCCUGCAUUGCAGGCAGAUUCUUUACCACUGAGCCACGAGGGAAGACCCGUGCAGGAAACUGCAUGCAGUUCAAUGAAGUUUCACAAAGCGGCUGCAUCCGUUUACCUAGGACCCAGGCCAGUGUGUUAAAUGAAGAAGCAAUAUAUGACUGCUGUUGCCCAACUGGAAUUCAGUAAGCAAAUCCCAAAGGAAGAGCGAAACUCUAAGAAGGAAAAUCUGACUAAGUUUAGCAUCUCCCACCCACACAAGGUCUCUCCUUCCAAGUCUCUCAUCUCUUUUUAUAUCGGGAAGUUUUGCUACUUUUUUCUAGUGUAGGAAGCCAGUCUCAGACCAGAGUUAGGAAUCCAGCUGUAAAAUCAAGUCUUCUUUCACGGCUGCAUAAAAUUGGACUAACUGACAAAAUCAACUGUAAAACUGCACAAACUCUGUACUUGGCUAUCCCUGGGAAAGCUUUUCCCUAUGUGAGAAAAUAGACUGAAACUCAGGAUAGACUCUCAGGAGAGCUCUGGAAUUCA